CGUAGGGAAGCGCUGGGCCACCGCGGCUAUUGUGCGUCGCACUCUCGCCCUCCUCUUCCCGCUGCGGUGUCUAUGGAGCUAGGCUACGUUUCAUUGCCGCCCCGGCUUAACCCUUCCGGCGCCUAACAGGACAGCCGGCCGGCUCCCUUGCACCAGGAAGAAAUCUUAGCAGCCCGCGGGCCCUGGUCACGAAACCCUAAGGUACAAGGAAAACAGUUGAAGAAGGAGCCAGAGCUCUCCGGUUUGGUCCUCGGGCUUCACUGGGGCGGGGCGCAGGCGUUGGCUUUAAGAAAGGGGAGGGGACAGUGCAAUCCGGGUUGCCCGCGGAGUUCGGCGAAGGAAGUCUUCCGCUCGCUCGGGAGCGAGGAGCCUGUAGAUAGGCUGCUCCCAGCUCCAGCUCUAACCUCGUCUACACCCUGGGCGGGCCCAAGUGUCACGUUUGCAAUUGCUCAGGAAGGAUCCGGCCAGUCUCCGGAGGCAAGUCGGGCUGCGGUUUUUGCUGCCUAUCUGGGGAGGCGAUACCUAGGGGGCAUGCUGCUUGCUAGGCAACACCCUGCCGGGAUCCGACUGCGGUAGUUAGCUCUCCCUGGCCCUGAAGCCGUUGCCGGGGCGCCUGUUCUCCGCCCGGACCAGCCAGCGCUCCCCAGGAGUCUCACUGAAACAGAACCAUGGGUCAUCCCCCGCUGGAGUUCAGCGACUGCUACCUGGACAGCCCCGAUUUCCGCGAGAGACUCAAGUGUUAUGAGCAGGAACUGGAGAGGACCAACAAAUUCAUCAAAGACGUGAUCAAAGACGGCAACGCGCUUAUCAGCGCUAUGAGAAAGAUGGAGUCUGUCUAUGUUGUCCAGUCUGGUCUUGAACUCUUGCCUCAAGUGAUCCUCCCAUCUCGGCCUCACAUAGUGUUGGGAUUCCAAGCAUGAGCCACUGAACUUGGCUUCAGUAGCAUUUUCAGUGUUAGCUCCAUCCUUAGUAUGAUGACCCUCAUUCCUCCUCCUAAGUGGACCACACACUACAGAGAUCUUGCCUAUCACUGAAAACAAAAGUGGACUUCAUGAAUUCUAUGGGCUUUGACCAACUAGUGUUAAUAACUUGCUUUUGGGGAGAGCCCUUUUUCUGUUCUACUCUCUGUUCCAACUCAUCUAUAGAUAAAAGAUCUAUUGUUUUUGGGGGGUUUAAAAAAUAAGUUUAUUGAGAUAAAAGUCACAUACCAUAAAAUUCACCCAUUUGUAAUGUCUCAUUCAAUGUUUUGUAGUAUAUUCACAGAGUUGUGCAACCAUCACCACAAUCAAUUUUAGAAUAUUUUCAUCACUCUGAAAAGAAACAUUGUACCCAUUAUGAAGAAGGCCUACUCUUAAACUUAGUUCAUUAUCAAUAAUAGUAAUAUUUGCUGAGGGCUUAUUCUGUGCAUUAGGCUGAGUACUUGCCUUUGUUAUCUCAUUUAAUACUUAUAAACAUCCUGUGAAUUAGGGACUAAUAUUAUUCCCAUUUUACAGAUGAGGAAACUGAGGCAUGUAGAAGUUUAAAACUUGUUCCUAUCCAAACUGGUUGUACAUGGUGAAUCCUAGAUUCUAACUUAGGCCAUCUGGUACCAUAGCAUUUUAUUUUAUUUUAUUUUAUUUU